AUCUUCUUGGGUAGAUAAUUGAUCAUCUUCAACUCCCAGGGCUCAACUUGGACAAGCGAUGGAAACUACCAAGUUGGAGUAUGGUAAGGGCAAAGGGAAUUUUCGGUGGAGUGGUAAAAUGCGUAGAGAUCGAAAGAACACCAACAGCGAAAGUGAUCUAUUGGGUCGACAUUGACACUAAGAGACAAAAGCCAAGGGAGAAAAUGGGAUUAGAUGCUCUAAUAACCUUAGCCGUAAACGAUGGUUAUUAGGCACUGUGCGUAUUAAGUAUCA
rnacentral:rRNA from 1 species